AAGUCGUAACAAGGUUUUCGUAGGUAAACCUGCAGAGGGAUCAUUACCUUUCUAGCUAUUUAAUAGCUUGUCUAAGGGCUGUAGUUUCUGCAGUCCCUAACUACAUCCGUGUUUUUUGCGCACUACAUGUUUCCUCAGCAGGCUUGCUCGCUGGUCAGACAAACUAAAACUCUUUGCAAUUGCAAUCAGCGUCUAAAUUAUAUAAUAAUCACAA
rnacentral:misc_RNA from 1 species